rfam:Triticum urartu cultivar G1812 contig99507, whole genome shotgun sequence.
UAUAUACUCCCUCCGUCCGGAAAUACUUGUCAUCAAAAUGGAUAAAAGGGAUGUAUCUAGAUGUAUUUUAGUUUUAGAUACAUCCCUUUUUGUCCAUUUUGAUGACAAGUAUUUUUGGACGGAGGGAGUAUAAU